UCCCCGAUGGAGGAGGACCGUUCUUCGGUCAAGGGUAUACAGUAGCUGCGCUCCCUUGCUAGAACCUCCAAACAAGCUCUCAAGAAAUGGGCCAGAACUAUACAUAGCUGUGCAGCCUCUGAGGCUGGCUCUGUGA
rnacentral:sRNA from 1 species